AUGGAAAGCAUAGUGCCCAACAAUCCAUCAACUGUACUCACAUUCAUCCUUAUCCGUACCCACACUUUUAUGGUGUUUUGUUUUAUUUUUUUUUGUUUUUUCCCAGAAGGGAAAAGGAGGGUGGCACAGGGAGAGAUUUCUUUUUUGCCAGAUGAAAUAGCUGCACUUGAAGGCAGGGCUUGCAGCAGGACUCUCUGCAUUUGUUGCAUUAUAUUACCCAGGGCCUGAUGCAACUCAGCUUAAGGUAAAUUUUCUUUUUUUGUGCAUAAUGCCAUUCUAUUAACUCAAGCUGUUCCUCUCAUCUUGCUUACCUGUAAGGUUCCCAUAACUUAAAUGAUUUCUGCAUAAGAAGCAGAAAUCCCCGCGUAACCAACAGAAGAGGGAUUGUUACCGAUCCAUUAGGAGGCAGUUAUUCCUGCUAUUAAGAAAGCCUGCUCUGCACCACCUCAUCUCAGUUCUUAGCAAUUCUUCAUAUUUUAGAAAAAGUACAAAUUUAUUGUAUUUCUGGCAUUUCUCAGCCCUGGAUCUCCGUUCUCCCACACAUGCUUUCCUGAUGUUAUUUCUGUACAAAUGAACACAGAAGCUUAAAUACAACUUUGGAAGUACUCUAUAUUAAAACUAUACUGUACAGUAAUAUCGUCUAACAUGCUUCUGAUAUGCUAGUACAGAAUGAGAUUUUUCACACAUCAACAGCUUAUGUGGCAUUCCAGUUUUCACUUCAGCAACCUCAGUAACACAAGCAAGCUGCUUUCUGUUAAAUGUUUUACAUUGCUACACUGCAGUACGGCAUACAACUUCAUAUACAGUCCAAAGAUUGGUUACAGCGUAAAAUAUUUAAGUAAGUUUCCUUAAAGCACUGAAAGUUAGAAAUAACUACAAACCAGGGGUUUUCUUCAUAAUUUUUAAUACUUUUCACUUUAAAUACUGGUUUUAAAUUUGUGAUUGUAACAUAGAAGAGCCAACUUUUAAUUUUUAAAACUUAUCAUUAGGAUCAUAAAGCUAUUAUAUAACAGUUACACUCUACACACUCAAGGUACUCAAAAAUAUGAUUCAUGUUCUGAGUCUGUAGAUGAACAGUGGCAAUUCAAAUACAGCGUUAUCUGUACAACGUGACAAAAAUACAGGUGGACAAUCUGAUUAGUUUAAAGAGAAUCUGCACAACUUCAGAUAAGCCAGCUCAGCCCAACUAACAGAAGGGUAAUUUCCCCUCAGCCCAUAAAUGCACCAUACUUCUCACACCUAAGUUGCUCAAAGUAAGUUGUUCAGUUUCCCAGACGGGCUAACAAUGACUAUUGCUCAUCCUCGCUCCCAUGAGUUCUAUCAAGCUAUUUCCUUAGACUGCCAUAUCCCCAGCCCUUCAUAUGGGCUCAAGUUACAGAAACAUCUAUCCUAGAGCAAAGGGCUUCUUCUGCAAUUCUGCAAAGAAAAUCAUAGCAGUAUCAAUUCUACAGAUUCAUUAACAGGAUGAAAAGAACACAGAGUGCUCAUAUUUGUGGCAGUGGGAAAAGGGUUCAGCUCUGGAGAAAUUUUAUAGAACCAUAACAGGAAGAUCUCUUCUGGAAGAAAGGCUCUGAUGGCUACUUGCACACAGACAAUCCAACAGGCCUAAAGAAAGCUGCUUUUUUUUUUUUUUUUUUUNNNNNNNNNNNNNNNNNNNNNNNNNNNNNNNNNNNNNNNNNNNNNNNNNNNNNNNNNNNNNNNNNNNNNNNNNNNNNNNNNNNNNNNNNNNNNNNNNNNNAAAAAAAAAAAAAAAAAAAGGAAUUCAAAAGCAUAGAAGAAGAAACUAAAAUGACUGAUGAUGAGUAGGGUCUUAGAAGACAAGGACACAAGAGACAGCAAUCAGAUUGAAUAAAAGCAGCUAGUAGAACAAACAUGUGAACCAUAUAAAACCAGAAUUAUAACCUAAAACAUUGGACUCCAAGACAAAGAAGUUUAACAUCUAGCACAGAUAAUAAAUAAUUUGGUAAUGAGAGAGAACGGACAAAACCAUUAAAAAGCCAGUUAAAUACAAUGCAAGUUUUUUUCUUUUUUCAAGCUAGCAGAAGGUUCACAGUUGUAGCUCCUACCUAUGAAGGGUAAGUAAAUAAAUUCCAUUGGAGUGUAUUUCACUCGCUGCUUCAAACUUGGAACAGUUGUCUGUCACAUAUAGUUUCAUGGAAGCUUAUCACUCACCACAAGGAUCACCAUAUCUAAUGUGUGAGAAAGAAAAUAAGACUUACCUUGUGUUGUUCUAUUGCAUCUACCCACUGUUGUCUGUGGUCUGGGUCCUGAGCUCGAAGAUACCAAACACUAUCAUUUACACUAAUAUCAAAUCUGCAUUCGUCAAAGUCAUGGGGCUGUGAAAAAAAGAGUGUAAGAAAAGCUGGAAUUAGUAACAUGUUCAACAGUAUCUUACAGAAUAUUCUGACAAUCAAACAUGGUAAUUAGCAAAGCCUGUCUUUGAUUCAAAAUGCCAUUUUAUGCAGCUCUCUCAAAUAAUAAACUAAUGUACACUUUCACAAUGAAAAGUGUCUGUUUUCUGAAAAAGAAGCUGAAAUGAAAAGUGGGAGACAGAAGCCAAACUGCUGAAUAUGUUCUUAUUAAAGAAAAAUUAUCAUAAAAAGUGUUCAACACAAAUACUGACCAACAUUUCAUACUUUCAAACCAAUUUUUUUUUAGCAUCUAGUGGACACAGAACAAAGUACACUACUAUUAUUGUUCUUUUAAAAUAUCAAAGCAAGAGAUGAAUUCAAGUUAUUGCUGUUAGUACUGAUUUUAGAUGGAAGACAAACAACAUAGCAAAACCCACUAAGACAGAACUGUAAAAACUGACUACAGCAAAAUGACAUGGAAGAGAAAAAAAGGAAGCUGUUGUACUCUCAGCCUCCAGCUAUUUUUGCCAUCUAAGACAAGAAUAUCAGAUAAUCGAAAGCAACAUUCAAUCCUUUCCCAUACCACUUAUUCAAUGCACCUAAACUUUACAAUGAAGGCAGAUGAGAUGUAAAGGGGGACAAAAUAAUCUCAUCUGCCUUGCACCUGACAUUGUCAAAAUAAAUUCCUAGCCAACACCCAAAAGAAUACAGCUUUUCCCUUUAUUUAAAGUUACUCUUUAUAAAGUCUUAUUGUUACGGCUGAAUACCUUCACUUUUUUUGCUACAUGAAAAAAAAAAAUCUGCUAAAUGUGAAAAUAUGGCAGGAAGCAAAAAGGCUCUUAGCUUAAGGCAAGUAAUGUGAUCUCAAGGUCCACAAAUUCCUGACCCCAACAACAAGGCUACAACAGUCAAUGUUCUUCGCAGUAUAUGAACUAGAUAGACUACAGUAUGCUAAUCUUGCAGACAGUUAAGGCACUGUACAUCAAUCACGAAACACUCCUCAAACAAAAACCAAAGAGCAAGUCUCAUUUGUUCGUUUCACGGAAGAAUCCAUAGUGCCAGUCAGAAUUAUUUUCAAAGGAUCUGAAAAUUAAAAGCUACUUACAUAUAAUACACAAUCCUUCCGGUUUAGAUCUAUGGGAGGAAUAAUAGGAGAUACAGCAGAAACCAAUAAUCAAAAUCAAACAAAAAGGAGCUCUGAGUUUAACGGGAGUACAUGAAAGCUCCUUUUUU
ensembl:lncRNA